GCACUCCCGCUCCUCCGCCCGACCGCGCGCUUGCCCCGCCGCUCCUGCCGCAGCCCCAGGGCCCCUCGCCGCCGCCACCAUGGACGCCAUCAAGAAGAAGAUGCAGAUGCUGAAGCUCGACAAGGAGAACGCGUUGGAUCGAGCUGAGCAGGCGGAGGCAGACAAGAAGGCGGCGGAAGACAGGAGCAAGCAGCUCGAGGAGGACAUCGCGGCCAAGGAGAAGUUGCUGCGGGUGUCGGAGGACGAGCGGGACCGGGUGCUGGAGGAGCUGCACAAGGCGGAGGACAGCCUCCUGGCCGCCGAAGAGGCCGCCGCCAAGGUACCCGGGGCGCGCGGCACGGCGUGGCGCACGAAUAGCUAACUCUUUCUCUUUCUCUCUCUCCCUCCCUGUCUUUCCCUCUGUCUCUCCCGCUGUCCCUGUCCUUCUGGUUCUGUGCACCCACACCCCUCCCCUUCGGGAUCACGCUGCCUGCUGCACCCCCCUCCCUCCCUGUACCCCCUGGCCAACUCCCAGCUGGAAGAUGAGCUGGUGUCACUGCAAAAGAAACUCAAGGGCACCGAAGAUGAACUGGACAAAUACUCUGAGGCUCUCAAAGAUGCCCAGGAGAAGCUGGAGCUGGCAGAGAAAAAGGCCACCGACGCUGAAGCCGAUGUAGCUUCUCUGAACAGACGCAUCCAGCUGGUUGAGGAAGAGUUGGAUCGUGCCCAGGAGCGUCUGGCAACAGCUUUGCAGAAGCUGGAGGAAGCUGAGAAGGCAGCAGAUGAGAGUGAGAGAGGCAUGAAAGUCAUUGAGAGUCGAGCCCAAAAAGAUGAAGAAAAAAUGGAAAUUCAGGAGAUCCAACUGAAAGAGGCCAAGCACAUUGCUGAAGAUGCCGACCGCAAAUAUGAAGAGGUGGCCCGUAAGCUGGUCAUCAUUGAGAGCGACCUGGAACGUGCAGAGGAGCGGGCUGAGCUCUCAGAAGGCCAAGUCCGACAGCUGGAAGAACAAUUAAGAAUAAUGGAUCAGACCUUGAAAGCAUUAAUGGCUGCAG
rnacentral:sRNA from 1 species